GGGAGUGCAGUGCUGAAGUUAUCCGGGUCCACAGCAGCUCUUUCUUCUGGAAAGUUCUAUCCAGAGAAACAGUGGCUGAUCCUUUCUGAAUGCUCAGGUGCCAUGCUCCUAUUCUCAGGCUAAGAGAAAUUAUGGCCACUGAAUUUGGAGUGGAGAAGACUGAGGUACAGCAAGGGGAAGGCAGGGGGAUGACACUUUUAUUAAUGACAGGCUGAAGUUGGUCCUCAACCCCCAGAUACUGGAGUUUCUUGCCUAGACUGUAAGUAGGGCGGCAAGUCUUAGGGGCAGCAGAGUGGAUCCAAGUCACCAGAGGCCUCUCUAGUGUGCGUACACCCCCUCCAUCCAUCCUACCAACACCCACCCUGAUGCAGAUUCUGCCAAACACUGUGCCCACAGGGUCCAUGCAGCUGUCUCUGUGACCACUGGCUCCCCACACCCCACACAUUAUUGUUGGGAGGCUGGGUGCUUUCCAGUUCUGCACAGCGUGAACUAGGAUGUUAUAACCAUCUUGGCGCGAGCUGCCUCUUCCCUCUCCCCAAAAUGUUCCUUCCCUCUUGUGAGGCUUUGGGCCCUUUCCUGACUCGUUCAUCUGUAGGCAGGAGCUAGCAGGACAACUCUUGGGAAAUGCUGGCAGCAGCCCAUGUACCAGCUUUAGUCUUUGCCAUGAUGAGACUGUUCCAGCCCGGGACUCUAACCUUCUUACCUACUGCCUGUGUCCCACUCUGUGCCUCCUUGCUUCCACAAGGUGAGAGCAUUCGCCUAUAUGUCUGUGUCCCAGGUGAAAGCUGGAAGAGGGCAUCAGAUUCUCUGCAGCUGUACUUACAGACUGGCACGUAGAUGAUGGGACUCGAACCCUGGUCCUCUGGAAGAGCAGCCAAUGCUUUUAACCACUGACUCAUUUCUAGCCUCUCUGCGUGUGUGUGUGUUUCAGAGACAGGAUUUCUUUGUGUAGCCCUGGCUGUCCUAGAACUCUUUCUGCAGACCAGGCUGGCUUCCAACUAAGAGAGCCACCUGCCUUUGCCUCCUGAAUCCUGGGAUUAAAGGCAUGUACCACUCACUGCCUGGCUUAAAGUGGCUUUCUUUGGUCCCUUUUCCUAUCUAACAUUCUGAUGUGUCUCUACAAUGGGUGAAGGGGUUGCUUCCUAUUUUCCCAGGUAUGAACUGUGACUGCUUCCGUGAGUAUGGCCUGGGUACUUGGUAAGCUUGGUGACCUUCAUGAUUCCAGGUUAUGUCAGGUCCGGGGGCUCUCCUUGAUGUGUAUAUAAAGAGAUAAAGAGAGGAAGGGAUAUGUUCUAUAGAGGUGUGAUGAAGUAUGGGGGAAGUGGGUACCUUGGCAGGGUCCAUGCUGAGGCAUUCCCCCACUCCCAGUGAUUAUACCAAAUGACAGUAUAAUAUAGAGUAGAGUUUAUUUAGGGCAUGGGGAGGGGAGUUAAGAGGGUAGUAGAGGUAGAGAAAGGCAGAGAAAGAGGGAGGAAGGGAGGGAGAGAGAGAGAGAGAGAGGGAGAGAGAGAGAGAGAGAUUGGUCAUGAGCAUGGGGAGAGAGAGGGGGAAGGGAAAGCAAGAGUAAUAGAAAACAAGAGGGGAGCAAGAGAGAAAGGAGGGGGCAAGCAGCUCCUUUUAUAGUGAGUCAGGCCUACCUGGUUGUUGCCAGGUAACUCUGGGGCGGGGCUUAGACAGAAUGCUAACACUCCCAACUUUUGCUGGGCCCUCUCUUGGCAAGAGUCUGUUCUACUUGGAUCUACUCUGGAAGAGACUGUGGUGCUUAGAGGGGCUUUGACACAGGGGCUGCCUGGUCCUGGAUAAAGACUCAGGAUCUACAAUGGAGUCAGUUUGGGCAUCUGCUUCACCUUGUGUCAAAGGCUGGGGAGUGGCCACAGGGACCAAUGUUUAGUGGACUGUGUUGGGGACACCCUGCAGCCCUAGCAGGAUGACUGUGGUCUCAUAAACUGGCCAAGUUGCCAGUCACAUCACAUCA
rnacentral:lncRNA from 1 species